GUCGGGGGUCGGUGGAAGGCUGGUUAAACCGUUUGGUUUUCGACCAAUAGGACCCGGGUUCGAUUCCCGCAUUGGACA
rnacentral:tRNA from 1 species